CGCCCCCCCCCUCCGUGUCCGGGCGCUCCCCUCACCUCGAACAUAAGCCCGAUGAGGACGCAGAGCACCAGGCAGAAGCCGAUAUCAGCAUGGUUGUGAAUGACGAACUCCUGACUGAAGAGCGGGUGCUCUCCAAGCAACCAUGGUUUUGUGGGUUCUACCAUGUACAUUUAGUCUUCAGAUUUCCAAGAAUUUUAUCACACUUGCAAGAGCCUUUCUGUUUCCCUCUCCUAUACCUUACAAAAUGGUGUGAAGAAAGAAGAAAAGAGGAUACUUUCAACCAUCUUCUAGCAAUUAUGCUUACUAUAUUCUCUCCCCAAUUAAAGACUUUUUAAAAAAGAUAUUUUAUUUUACUAAUUAUAUGUAAUAACAAUUUUUUCAACAUAAAUUUUCUGAAGUUAUAA